UACGGAGGGAGCUAGCGUUGUUCGGAAUUACUGGGCGUAAAGCGCACGUAGGCGGCUUUGUAAGUUAGAGGUGAAAGCCCGGGGCUCAACUCUGGAAUUGCCUUUUAGACUGCAUCGCUUGAAUCAUGGAGAGGUCAGUGGAAUUCCGAGUGUAGAGGUGAAAUUCGUAGAUAUUCGGAAGAACACCAGUGGCGAAGGCGGCUGACUGGACAUGUAUUGACGCUGAGGUGCGAAAGCGUGGGGAGCAAACAGG
rnacentral:rRNA from 1 species